rnacentral:tRNA from 1 species
GGUGGCUCAGUGGUAGAGUGCUUGCCUUGCAUGCACGAGGCCCUGGGUUCGAUUCCUCAGUACCA